rnacentral:tRNA from 1 species
AGUGCUAAGCCUGAAAUUAAAGGAUUAUCUUGAUGUGAUAAAAGUUGUAUAAUAUACUGGUACUU